rnacentral:rRNA from 1 species
AUGUCCUCGUCUCAAUCUCUCAUCCUCCUCCUCACCUCCCCUCUCCCCCCGCCUCCUCGUGUCGUCGCCGCCAUCCCACCAUCCUCGCGCCCCACCACCGCUAGCCGCUUCCGCCACCUCCCGCGCCUCACCGCCAAUCUCUGCCUUCCGCCACUCGCGACCUCCGCUUCCGGCGGAUUCGGAGAUGGCAAUUUCCCCGGUGGGGAUGGGGGUGGCGGAGGAGGAGGAGGAGGGGGUUGGUGGCAAGGCGGGAGAGGAGACCCCCCCGACAAGCCCGGAGACGGGUGGCGACGGUGGCUUCAGUCCCUCCACCCCGAGCUCUUCCUCCUGUUCUUGCUCCUCCAGUCGGACGCCUUCGCUUCCAUCCCAUCCGCCCUCGCCGAUGCCCUGGGAGCAACCGGCGGCGACGGCGGUAGCGUUUGGGAGGUGAGGGGUAGUGCGCGUACGCUGCUCGUACCCAACCCGACCGGAACCUCAUACCUCGUUGCGGGAGACGAUAAGCGGAAGCAAGAAGAGGGUAUGGAAAAGACGGGGGCUGGCCCUGCUAAUUUGGCCGCACUGCGGAGGCAACUCGAACGGUCAUGGCGGCGGUGCACUGAUGUUGCUCUUCAGUUGCUGCUGCCUGAUGGAUACCCGCACAGCGUGAGCAGCGACUAUCUGCACUACUCGCUGUGGCGGGGCGUGCAAGGUGUUGCUAGCCAGAUCAGCGGCGUGCUCUCUACGCAGGCGUUGCUGUACGCAGUUGGUUUGGGUAAAGGAGCGAUCCCGACGGCCGCCGCAGUGAAUUGGGUGCUGAAAGAUGGGCUUGGUUACUUGAGCAAGAUACUCUUGUCGAAAUUUGGGCGACAUUUUGAUGUGAACCCGAAGGGAUGGCGGCUGUUUGCAGAUCUUCUGGAGAACACAGCUUAUGGGCUGGAGAUUUUGACUCCGGUAUUUCCUCACCUGUUUGUUCCCAUUGGUGCAGCCGCUGGAGCUGGCCGAUCGGCAGCUGCUCUAAUACAGGCUGCCACAAGAAGUUGUUUCUUUGCUGGCUUUGCUGUCCAGAGAAACUUUGCUGAGGUCAUUGCAAAGGGUGAAGCGCAGGGAAUGGUUAGCAAGUUUGUUGGCAUAAUGCUUGGCAUAGCGUUAGCUAACCAAAUUGGCUCAUCAGUACCACUGGCUCUUAUUUCAUUUGCUGGUGUUACUGUAGUUCACAUGUAUUGCAACCUUAAGUCUUAUCAAUCAAUUCAGCUGAGGACGCUGAAUCCUUACUGUGCAAGUUUGGUAUUUAGUGAAUAUUUAUUAAGUGGACAAGUUCCUUCAGUCAAAGAGGUUAACGACAAGGAGCCACUUUUUCCGAAUUUAUCCAUGGGUGCUCAAGUUAAACAAAGUGAGAUUUUGUCAGCAGAAGCAAAAGAUGCAUAUGCACUGUUUGAUUUGUACAAAAAUGAGCAAUACCUUCUUACGGAUUACAAGGGGAAAUUUUGUGUUGUUCUUAAAGAGGGAUCUUCCCCAGAAGACAUGCUGAAAUCUCUAUUCCAUGUUAACUAUCUGUACUGGUUAGAGAAAUAUAUGGGUUUCAAACCAUUCAAUGUUGCCUCCGAGUGUAGACCAGGUGGAAGGCUUGAAGCAUCACUGGAUUAUGUUCAGAGGGAGUUUACACAUGUCAAGCAUGAUGGUUCAAAUGGUGGCUGGGUGAUGGAUGGUCUGAUUGCUAGACCCUUGCCUGUAAGAAUACGUGUUGGCGAUGUUCCUUGA